rnacentral:rRNA from 1 species
UGGGGAAUAUUGCACAAUGGGCGCAAGCCUGAUGCAGCCAUGCCGCGUGUAUGAAGAAGGCCUUCGGGUUGUAAAGUACUUUCAGCGGGGAGGAAGGGAGUAAAGUUAAUACCUUUACUCAUUGACGUUACCCACAGAAGAAGCACCGGCUAACUCCGUGCCAGCAGCCGCGGUAAUACGGAGGGUGCAAGCGUUAAUCGGAAUUACUGGGCGUAAAGCGCACGCAGGCGGUCUGUCAAGUCGGAUGUGAAAUCCCCGGGCUCAACCUGGGAACUGCAUUCGAAACUGGCAGGCUAGAGUCUUGUAGAGGGGGGUAGAAUUCCAGGUGUAGCGGUGAAAUGCGUAGAGAUCUGGAGGAAUACCGGUGGCGAAGGCGGCCCCCUGGACAAAGACUGACGCUCAGGUGCGAAAGCGUGGGGAGCAAACAGG